UGGAGCGUGUGGUUUAAUUCGAUGCUACACGAAGAACCUUACCAGGGUUUGACAUGCAAGUGGUAGGAAACCGAAAGGCGACCGACCCUUCGGGGAGCUUGCACAGGUGCUGCAUGGCUGUCGUCAGCUCGUGUCGUGAGAUGUUCGGUAAAGUCCGCUAACGAGCGCAACCCUCGCUGUGUGUUAUAUGUGUCACACGGGACUGCCGGUCUUAAGCCGGAGGAAGGUGAGGAUGAUGUCAAGUCAGCAUGGCCUUUAUAUCUUGGGCA
rnacentral:rRNA from 1 species